AACUUUUAAUAAUGGAUCUCUUGGUUCCGGUAUCAAUGAAGAACGUAGUAAAAUACGAUACGUAAUAUGAGUGCUAGGAACCCUAUAUAGCGUUAGAUGUGUAUUAGACGUGGUCAAUAUAGUAGUUAUGUACCUGAUUUAGGGUCU
rnacentral:rRNA from 1 species